rnacentral:rRNA from 1 species
UAGAGUUUGAUCCUGGCUCAGGAUGAACGCUGGCGGUCUGCUUAACACAUGCAAGUCGAACGGAACCUUCGGGUUUAGUGGCGGACGGGUGAGUAAAGCGUGAGAAUCUGCCUCCAGGUCGGGGACAACAGCGGGAAACUGCUGCUAAUCCCGGAUGAGCCUAAGGGUAAAAGAUUUAUUGCCUGGAGAGGAGCUCGCGUCCGAUUAGCUAGUUGGUGAGGUAAGAGCUUACCAAGGCAACGAUCGGUAGCUGGUCUGAGAGGACGAUCAGCCACACUGGGACUGAGACACGGCCCAGACUCCUACGGGAGGCAGCAGUGGGGAAUUUUCCGCAAUGGGCGAAAGCCUGACGGAGCAAGACCGCGUGCGGGAGGAAGGCCCUUGGGUCGUAAACCGCUUUUCUUAGGGAAGAAGCUCUGACGGUACCUAAGGAAUCAGCCUCGGCUAACUCCGUGCCAGCAGCCGCGGUAAUACGGAGGAGGCAAGCGUUAUCCGGAAUUAUUGGGCGUAAAGCGUCCGCAGGCGGCUUACCAAGUCUGCUGUCAAAUACCAGAGCUCAACUCUGGGUCGGCGGUGGAAACUGGCAAGCUAGAGUACAGUAGGGGUAGAGGGAAUUCCCAGUGUAGCGGUGAAAUGCGUAGAGAUUGGGAAGAACACCGGUGGCGAAAGCGCUCUACUGGGCUGUAACUGACGCUGAGGGACGAAAGCUAGGGUAGCGAAAGGGAUUAGAUACCCCUGUAGUCUUAGCUGUAAACGAUGGAGACUAGGCGUGGCUUGUAUCGACCCGAGCCGUGCCGAAGCCCAACGCGUUAAGUCUCCCGCCUGGGGAGUACGCACGCAAGUGUGAAACUCAAAGGAAUUGACGGGGGC